GGCGAGUGAAGCGGGAUGAGCUCAAGCUUAAAAUCUCCGUGCAAAUUUUGCAUGGCGAAUUGUAGUCUAUAGAGACGUGAUUAGCAUAGGCACUUGGGGCAAGUUCCUUGGAAGAGGACAGCAUCGAGGGUGAUACUCCCGUUUAUCUCCGAGUUGCUUUUGCGUACAAUCCGUUUUCUUUGAGUCGCGUUGUUUGAGAAUGCAGCGCAAAGUAGGUGGUAAAUUCCAUCUAAAGCUAAAUAUUGGUGCGAGACCGAUAGCAAACAAGUACCGUGAGGGAAAGAUGAAAAGAACUUUGAAAAGAGAGUUAAAGAGUACCUGAAACUGCUGAAAGGGAACCAAAUCGUUUCCAGUGUCUAUAAUCCGUGGUAUAUUUCAUUGGCGAAUGUGUGCGUGCGUGUACUAUGGCAGCGGCUUUUUGCUGCGCCUUGUGUGUGUGUGCACUUUCUCGCUGAUGCCCUGUACCGUGGUGGGACGUCAAUGUCGGUUCGUAAAUUGCGGGAAAUGACUGCCGAGGAGGUAGGGCGAACGCUUGCGUUUGUCUGUUAUAUCUUGGCGGACGUAGUAGUCGCGGUUGGGACUGAGGUGCCUACAAUGUGCUUAUGAGUAGAAUUGAUUCUCCGUGUGCGCUAUGUGCGGAUAGCUUGCUAUGCGUGUGUGGCUGCGUGUGGAU
rnacentral:rRNA from 1 species